rnacentral:rRNA from 1 species
AUACGUAGGUGGCAAGCGUUGUCCGGAUUUAUUGGGCGUAAAGCGAGCGCAGGCGGUUUUUUAAGUCUGAUGUGAAAGCCUUCGGCCCAACCGAAGAAGUGCAUCGGAAACUGGGAAACUUGAGUGCAGAAGAGGACAGUGGAACUCCAUGUGUAGCGGUGAAAUGCGUAGAUAUAUGGAAGAACACCAGUGGCGAAGGCGGCUGUCUGGUCUGUAACUGACGCUGAGGCUCGUUUAAAGUAUGGGUAGC